UUUUUUUUUUUAAAAGUAUUGUGACAGUCUAUGUAAUAUGAUUCAGUAUUGUGCUUUAUUACUGAUUUUUAUUGAAAUGAAAAUUUCUCUCCAGCUUGACAUUUUCGUGUCCAGGAACUGCUAUAUCUGAGAAAAAGUACUGUGAUGGAAUAAUGCAACACAUACUUUUGGAUUAAUGAAGGAGCGGCAUGUUCACUCUGAUAACUCUGAGGUGGUAAACCGGUAUGGGGAGCACCAGUGGGUCAAAGCCAAUCCCCACAAGAGAUGGAGGUAAUUAUAGUUGAGGAGGACUUAGUUAUUAGUUGAUUGAGAUGCAGGUUUACUCCAGUGACAGAGAGUCUCUCAUGGUGUGUUGUCUUCUCGGUGCACAGGUGGGGAGACCACCUUAAAAGCGUGGAAAGGCUCCUGGCUGCAGCAGGGUGGGGAGGUGGUCAGGGGAGGGCUGUCAAUCCGGUUGUCCUUUUACAUGUUGGAACAAAUGAAAUGUUUUAUGUGCAGACUGUCAGUUCUUCAAUUCAAAUUUGAAGAGUUAGCGAUCAUGUUCAGGAGCAGAACUGGCAAGGUGGUCUUCUUUAAAGUUAUGCCUCUGCCACGUGUCAAUAACAAGUAAAAUGGAGGAGAUAAGAAGGCUUAAUACUCAAUCCCUCAUGAUCCCAGAUAACUGGACAUGUUAUAUAGUAACUGAUGUAGGGAUCAGUUUGCUUUUCAAUUAACUGGAUUGAUGUUGAGUGAGAGAGAGAAAAAAAAUGCAUUUGUUACACAUUUUUGUUGAAAAGUUUGCCUUAAUGCACCCUUAUGUACAUUUAUUGAAUGUUUUUGUAAACAGUUGUUAUAUAAUACAUUCCUGUUAACAAAGUUGUUGUAAAUUACAA